UACGUAGGGUGCAAGCGUUGUCCGGAAUUAUUGGGCGUAAAGAGCUCGUAGGCGGUCUGUCGCGUCUGCUGUGAAAAUCCGGGCUCAACCCCGGACUUGCAGUGGGUACGGGCAGACUAGAGUGUGGUAGGGGAGACUGGAAGUUCCUGGUGUAGCGGUGAAAUGCGCGAUAUCAGGAGGAACACCGAUGGCGAAGGCAGGUCUCUGG
rnacentral:rRNA from 1 species